rnacentral:lncRNA from 1 species
GAAAAUGUUAAAGAUAUACUUUUAAAAGAAAUAUUUUGCUGGUACAAACAAGUGGAAAAAUAGUCGACAGGCCUUACAGUAGGUACUAUAGGAGGUAGGAAGACAGAUCAAUCAACCAAUUAAUAAAUAGAUGAAGGGUAUAGCCUGCUGAACCUCUUAUUUGAGAGACUAUUUUGCCUAAUUACCAGCAUGUCAAAGAAGACACUCACAACUUUGUCCAAAUCUGAGGCAAGACUCGCUCACAGAAGCAGUAAAGACAUAUUUCUUUAUGUAUCUUUGCUUCAGUCACCUGGCGCUGGGGACAGAAGUACCGUGAAGAGAUGAAUGUUGCAGAACAGUGUCUCAGGUAUUCAGGCAUGCAACACUUUCCACAGAUGUCAGACAUGGCAGUUUUCUACAGGGAGACACAAGGUCAUUCCAUGCACUAUUAUCAGGAUUGUGGUGCACAGACUGUGAUCAGACUACUUAAUGCAUCUCUGAUUCAACCAGUCAUUCUUCUUGUCUUCCAAAUGCUUUGUAUUCAGUCAUUGCUGAGCUCUAUAAAGUCCUUUGAAAACACAAAAA